rnacentral:rRNA from 1 species
UACAGAGGGUGCGAGCGUUAAUCGGAAUUACUGGGCGUAAAGCGCACGUAGUCGGCUUGUCAAGUCGGGUGUGAAAUCCCCGGGCUCAACCUGGGAACUGCAUCCGAAACUGACUUGCUAGAGUAUGGGAGAGGGAGGCGGAAUUUCUGGUGUAGCAGUGAAAUGCGUAGAUAUCAGAAGGAACAUCAGUGGCGAAGGCGGCCUCCUGGACCAAUACUGACGAUCAGGUGCGAAAGCGUGGGGAGCAAACAGGAUUAGAUACCCUGGUAGUCCACGCCCUAAACGAUGACAACUGGAUGUCGGGAGGGUUUGCCUUCCGGUGUCGUAGCUAACGCGUUAAGUUGUCCGCCUGGGAAGUACGGCCGCAAGGUUG